rnacentral:rRNA from 1 species
AGCGAACGCUGGCGGCGGGCUUAACACAUGCAAGUCGAACGGGCACUUCGGUGCUAGUGGCAGACGGGUGAGUAACGCGUGGGAACGUGCCUUUCGGUUCGGAAUAAUCCAGGGAAACUUGGACUAAUACCGGAUACGCCCUUCGGGGGAAAGAUUUAUCGCCGAAAGAUCGGCCCGCGUCUGAUUAGCUAGUUGGUGAGGUAAAGGCUCACCAAGGCGACGAUCAGUAGCUGGUCUGAGAGGAUGAUCAGCCACAUUGGGACUGAGACACGGCCCAAACUCCUACGGGAGGCAGCAGUGGGGAAUAUUGGACAAUGGGCGCAAGCCUGCUCCAGCCAUGCCGCGUGAGUGAUGUAGGCCUUAGGGUUGUAAAGCUCUUUUGUCCGGGAAGAUAAUGACUGUACCGGAAGAAUAAGCCCCGGCUAACUUCGUGCCAGCAGCCGCCGUAAAAC